rnacentral:tRNA from 1 species
ACUCUGAUAGUGUAAUGGCAGCAUCUCAGUCUUCAAAACUGAUGGUAUAGGUUCGAGUCCUGUUCGGAGUGCAA